rnacentral:rRNA from 1 species
AUUGAACGCUGGCGGCAGGCCUAACACAUGCAAGUCGAACGGUAACAGAAAGCAGCUUGCUGCUUUGCUGACGAGUGGCGGACGGGUGAGUAAUGUCUGGGAAACUGCCUGAUGGAGGGGGAUAACUACUGGAAACGGUAGCUAAUACCGCAUAACGUCGCAAGACCAAAGAGGGGGACCUUCGGGCCUCUUGCCAUCUGAUGUGCCCAGAUGGGAUUAGCUAGUAGGUGGGGUAAAGGCUCACCUAGGCGACGAUCCCUAGCUGGUCUGAGAGGAUGACCAGCCACACUGGAACUGAGACACGGUCCAGACUCCUACGGGAGGCAGCAGUGGGGAAUAUUGCACAAUGGGCGCAAGCCUGAUGCAGCCAUGCCGCGUGUAUGAAGAAGGCCUUCGGGUUGUAAAGUACUUUCAGCGGGGAGGAAGGGAGUAAAGUUAAUACCUUUGCUCAUUGACGUUACCCGCAGAAGAAGCACCGGCUAACUCCGUG